rnacentral:rRNA from 1 species
UGCCAGCCGCCGCGGUAAGACGGAGGGCGCAAGCGUUAAUCAGAAUCACUGGGCUUAAAGGGUACGUAGGCGGGUCUGUUAGUGUCUUGUGAAAUCCCACGGCUCAACCGUGGAACUGCUUGGCAUACUGCAGGCCUUGAGGUCGGUAGGGGCUGUCGGAACUCUAGGUGUAGCGGUGAAAUGCGUAGAUAUCUAGAGGAACGCCAAUAGUGAAGACAGGCAGCUGGUCCGAUCCUGACGCUGAGGUACGAAAGCGUGGGUAGCGAACGGGAUUAGAUA